GUUGUUUUUCUGAAAGCUGCCUGGUGAAAGGGCAUGCAAUGCUUUGCUCCAGUGUAUGCUUGAGAGAACACGGGAUGUUUGGAAAGAGUGUAAGUAAAACUUAGCAGACAGUGGAUGAUGCUCUGAUACUGGUUCGCCUUGCUGGUCUCCACUGGGCUUCGAUGACACUGGGCUUCACUGAUGAUGCUCUGGCAUUGGCUCCCCUUGAUUUCUACUUUAAUCUUUGCUUGUCAUAACUCUGGAAAGAAUUGCACCAAAGAACUUCUGAUGGUGUUCUGGAUGCUUCUUGCUGCUUUGGUGGACUCUUGCUGAUUGGCAAAGCCUUGUGGUUACUUUUGGAUCAAGCAGCUGCUGCUAAUUCAUGUUUGAUGUUUUACUAGUGGACUGUUCUACAGACAACAAAAAUUGGAAUCGCCUCAAAGAACUACUUCUAAACAGGUCCACAGCCUUCUUCCUCCCCUACCUUUGGUCAGUGGACUACAAAUGAGGUUGAAACUUUUAAGAACUCUUAUUAAAGUGGAUUUUGAAAAAUAUAAGCCUACAAAUCUAUCACACAGAUAUUGGCCACAGGAAGACUAGCUAUAAUUUCCAGAAAUAGGAUCGGCUCCAAUACUUCCUUCAUUUGUCUUUCUCAGUUUUGUGACUCAGUUUCUCUGUGAAUGUCCAUGGAAGAUGACUGCACAACCUGUAGACUAAGAGAGUUACUUGUGAGUCUAAACAUGCAUCCGUACCCAGGAUUCAGAGGCGCUGAAGCUGGCUAAGAAAUGAGCAGUUGCAAGUCUCUGCACUCUCCAGCCUCCAUUGCUGAAAAGUUAGAUGUAAAGUCUAUGGGAGAAAUAUGGCAGUAAGUCUGGGUCCAGAGAAGCCUUGCUCUUUGAAGUUAAGGACUAUGAAGAUUCAUACUGCUAAGUGUUCAACGUUUAUGAAUGAAGAGACUGUCAGGCUGAGUUCCAGAAAGGCCAAAUGUUCUGCUUGUAACACAGCUACACGGGGGACAGAACUACGUGACUCAUGGUCUCCAGCUUCCCAGUCCCUGCCUUGUUCACCCCUUGCCUCUCAGGUUAUGAGGUUUCUUUGACUGUGAGGAAUUUAUGGGAAAGACGACCUGACAACUAUACCCAUAGAGUGAGACUUCCUUCCUUCAGCUCUCUGGCACGAUAAAAGACAGGAUUUCUCUGUCGAGCCCUGUGCUACUCCUUUACUUCAUUCUGGCUCUGGUUGGGGGUGGGGGAGCCUCCCCUGGCUGGGCACCAGUGGGGCCGCCGUGGAGAGCAGGAGGGAUUCCUCAGCAAGGCAGCAUCUGUGACCAGCUGGAAAUCUCAACAAACUACAUUCUCAGUUCUGAUUCCAUGAUCUGAGAGGACCGUGAGGAGUGAGUAGCAGGUUACUGUUCUGCCAAAUUCUGCGUGGACCUUCCUAAGCUACCACCCAGUUUGUGUCUCUGUAGCACUCCUCCAACAGUAUCUUCCCUGGAUACUUUCACUAUCAAUAAGAAAACAGUGUCCUGGAAGAGCACUGGACUCCAUGAAAAUCGCUCUCCUUGCACAGUGAUCUGGAACCUUCUGCAAGUGUGCUAUGAAGGUUUGAAUAUGCUUGACACGUAGAAAGGUCUACUAUUAUGAGCCCUGCCCAGUGCAGAAGAGACCCUCUUCCUGGAUGCUUGUGGAAGACAGUCUUUUCUUGGUUGUCUUUGGAUCAAGAUAUAGAACUCAGCUCCUCUCCAGCACCAUAUUUGCCUGCAUGUUGCCAUAUUUUCUGCCAUGAUGAUAAUGGACUGAACAUCUGAAACUGUAAGGCAGCCCAAAUUAAAUGGUGUUCUUUAUAAAAGUUGUCUUGGUCAUGUUGUCUCUCCAUAGCAGUAAAACCUUACUGAAGACAGAAGUUGGUACCAGAGACUGGGUAUUUCUGUGAGGGGCCUGACCAUACUGGAGAUGUCAGUACCAAGGGAUGACCACCAAGACCAUUGGCAGUAAUGGAAUAGAGUCAACAAAAACCUAGAGUACUAUAGAGGGCAGAGCUGAGGAAGUGAUGUACUCCUCUUUUGGAGGACUACAGAAGAUCAUAUCAUCUGUAGAUCCUAGACAUUGGAACAAGAAGCUGUAAGGUCGAAGUGGCCUUGGAUAUUCCAAGAUAUUAAGAUUUCAGAACCAUGGGGUACCUGCUGAUGAAAGCUGCCACCAAGAAGUAGAAACCAGCCCAAGAAAAAGAAGGUUGUUGCAGUCAACAAAGAUGGAAGGAGUUGGAGAUUUGAAGAACACUUUGACAUCAGACAUGGAGAUGCAGAAUUUAAAGUUUGCCUACCUGGUUUAGGUCUUGGCUUGGUCCAGUAUUUCCUCACUAUGACAUUUUAGAAUGGUAAUGUAUAUAUCUCAUGAUGUUGGAAGUCUAUGAUCUGCUUUUUUAAUUUUGAUCUUAUAGGGGAUUACAGUUAAGAGAUUGCAUUAAUUUCAGAAGAGACUUUGAGCUUCAAACAGUGUUGAGACUAUGAGAGACUAUGGGGACUUUUGAAGUUGGAUUAAAUGUAUUUUGUAUUAUGCUCUGGCUAGGUAUGGCUCCCAUAAACUCAUGUGGGACCAAGGAGUAGAAUUUGAUGAUUUAAAUAUGCUUGGCCUAUGUGAAAUGCUCCUACUAGGACGUGUGGUCUUGUGGAAGAAGUGUGGGGGUAGGCUUUGAGGUCCUAUGCUCAAGCUCUGCCCAGUGCAGAAGAGAUCCUCCUCAUGUCUGCCUGCAGAAGACAGUCUCUUCCUGUCUGUGUUCUGAUUAAGAUGUAGAACUCUUAGUUCCUUCUUCAGCAACAUAUCUGCCUAGAUGCUGCCAUGCUUUCCACCAUGAUGAUAAUAGACUGACCAUCUGAAUCUGUAAGGCAGCCCCAAUUAAAUAUUGUCCUUU
rnacentral:lncRNA from 1 species